UUAUCAUAUAAAUCAAUAAUUAAUUAUUCACAAAUAAUAUUACAGAAUCACAAUUAUGACAACCAGGCCGUUCCCAGGAAAGAGGGGGCUUUCCAAUAAGGAUUUCUCCUUACUUGCGCGCAAUUAGGUGACCAAACCUCUCCUUAGACAGAACUUUCUAGACAUUACCAAUAAUGUUAUCUAAUAAUAUUAUUCAAAUAAUAUGAAU
rnacentral:lncRNA from 1 species